UAGUAGUAGUAAUAAUAAUAAUAAUUUUAUUAUUUAUACCCUGCCUAUCUGGCUGGGUUUCCCCAGCCACUGGGUGGCUUCCAGCAAAAUAUUAAAAUACAAUAAUUCAUCGAAUAUUAAAAGCUUCCCUAAACAGGGCUGCCUUCAGAUGUCUUCUAAAAGUCAGAUAGUUGUUUUAUUUCCUUGACAUCUUAUGGGAGGGUAUUCCACAGGGCAGGCGUGUAGGAAAUGGGCUUUUCCUUGUUUUUUACUUCUCUUUUUACAGACUAACCCCUGAGGAAGCCCCACCAAUUAAAGCUGCAAUCAGUCCUACAAGCACAUUAGAAGCAAGCCCUCUUGACAAUACUGUACAGGGUUUUGUUCUUUUUGAGCACUGAUAAAGGAUGGAACUCUUAAUAUGAAGAUAAUCCAGCCUUCUGUUUUCAACAGUACUGCUUUCUCCUAAUACAGCCAAACCUCACUUCUGGAACAGCCCCAUUUUCAAACGUUUUCCCCCAACGCCAAAAACCCGGAAGUAACUGCUCUGGUUUUUGAAUGAUAUUCAGAAGCCGAACAUGCUACGCAGCUUCUGUUUUGAGUUUCCGCUUUCAGUUUUUGGUUGUCAAAUGUUUCGGAAGUUGAAUGGUCUUCUGGAACGGAUUACGUUCGACAACUGAGGUUUGACUGUAGUGAAAUUGUGUGAUUGAUGAUGCAUUCCUGUACUUGUCUACUCAGAAGUGUGCACCCUUGAAGGUAAUGGGUCCUUUCCCAUAGGUAAACAGAUACAGGAUAGCAGCCUCAAUGCCUUAUCAAUUCAGAUGCAAAACAGGAUUAUCCCAAACCAAGGUAGUGAUUUCUGUAUUAUUAGGGAACUCCUAGGCACACAAGUAUUCAAGUAAAUUAAAAGAAAUAAGCCAAAAAGGACUGUGAACUUCCUGAAUUUAUGAUACACUGCUGACAGUUGAGCCUGGAGAUAUAAAACUUUCUUGAGUAACUCAGACCAUUGUUUGGAGAUAGAAUUACCAGUAUCACACCAAAUGCCAAAUAAUGGAAUUCUGUGUUUGCUGCUACCUUUUUGUUGGAGUAAGGUAGACAUCCCUCUGCCAAAUCAGUCAUGCAAAAAUUCUGGAUUUCUCCAUUAUUUUCCACAGGGAAGUUUCACAAAGUAAGUAAGGCAGAUAGACUCCAAUCAACUUGAGUUUAUGGAUGAGAGCAGUUGAGACUUGAACUGUUAAGACUAAGAGUGUCAGUUGAAGUGGGAAGUAAGGAAGAAGAAUUGGUCUGCUGAAGCCCCUUACAAGUUCUAAGCUGACUCAGGCUGUUGAAGCAUUCCAAAUCAUCUUUUGCUGUCCAAAGCUCAGUUGGCUGCUUGGAUUACCAAUGAGCUUGGAGCUAUGAAGAAGGAAGGGAUGCUGGAAGCACAAGUGUCAGAAACCUUGAUACAAGUACAGUCAUACAUCAGUAAGAGUU